AGUUGGAAACGACUGCUAAUACCGCAUAAGCCCACGACCCGGCAUCGGGUUGAGGGAAAAGGAGCAAUCCGCUUUGAGAUGGCCUCGCGUCCGAUUAGCUAGUUGGUGAGGUAAUGGCCCACCAAGGCAACGAUCGGUAGCCGGACUGAGAGGUUGAACGGCCACAUUGGGACUGAGACACGGCCCAGACUCCUACGGGAGGCAGCAGUGGGGAAUAUUGCACAAUGGGGGAAACCCUGAUGCAGCGACGCCGCGUGGAGGAAGAAGGUCUUCGGAUUGUAAACUCCUGUUGUUGAGGAAGAUAAUGACGGUACUCA
rnacentral:rRNA from 1 species